rnacentral:rRNA from 1 species
UCCGUAGGUGGUUUGUCAAGUCUGUCGUCAAAAGAAUGGAGCUUAACUCCAUAAAGGCGGUGGAAACUGAGAGACUAGAGUUCGGUAGGGGUAGCGGGAAUUCCCAGUGUAGCGGUGAAAUGCGUAGAUAUUGGGAAGAACAUCGGUGGCGAAAGCGCGCUACUGGGCCGAAACUGACACUGAGGGACGAAAGCUAGGGUAGCGAAAG